rnacentral:SRP_RNA from 1 species
CCGUGCUAGGCGGGGAGGCAGCGGUGCCCUGUACUCGCAAUCCGCUACAGCGAGGCUGAAUCCCUUCUCAAGGCUUUGUUUCUGUGGGGCCUGACCCUUGUAAGUGGUGUUGACGUCCGGGUUCUGUGCAACGGAAAUUCGUGAACCCUGUCAGGUCCGGAAGGAAGCAGCAGUAAGCGGACACUUCUGUGUGCCGCAGAGCCGCCCGGAUCGAGCUAACUGCCUGGGUAACGCUCAUGGAUUCAUUGCCGACAGAAGGUGCACGG